rnacentral:rRNA from 1 species
GAGGGUACGAAGUCGACUUGGAGGUUGUGCCCUUGAGGCGUGGCUUCCGGAGCUAACGCGUUAAGUCGACCGCCUGGGGAGUACGGCCGCAAGGUUAAAACUCAAAUGAAUUGACGGGGGCCCGCACAAGCGGUGGAGCAUGUGGUUUAAUUCGAUGCAACGCGAAGAACCUUACCUGGUCUUGACAUCCACGGAAGUUUUCAGAGAUGAGAAUGUGCCUUCGGGAACCGUGAGACAGGUGCUGCAUGGCUGUCGUCAGCUCGUGUUGUGAAAUGUUGGGUUAAGUCCCGCAACGAGCGCAACCCUUAUCCUUUGUUGCCAGCGGUCCGGCCGGGAACUCAAAGGAGACUGCCAGUGAUAAACUGGAGGAAGGUGGGGAUGACGUCAAGUCAUCAUGGCCCUUACGACCAGGGCUACACACGUGCUACAAUGGCGCAUACAAAGAGAAGCGACCUCGCGAGAGCAAGCGGACCUCAUAAAGUGCGUCGUAGUCCGGAUUGGAGUCUGCAACUCGACUCCAUGAAGUCGGAAUCGCUAGUAAUCGUGGAUCAGAAUGCCACGGUGAAUACGUUCCCGGGCCUUGUACACACCGCCCGUCACACCAUGGGAGUGGGUUGCAAAAGAAGUAGGUAGCUUAACCUUCGGGAGGGCGCUUACCACUUUGUGAUUCAUGACUGGGGUGAAGUCUCAA